UACGUAGGGGCAAGCGUUGUCCGGAUUUAUUGGGCGUAAAGAGCGUGUAGGCGGCCUGGAAGGUCAGCUGUGAAAACUCGAGGCUCAACCUCGAGACGUCGGUUGAAACCACCUGGCUAGAGUCCGGAAGAGGAGUGUGGAAUUCCCGGUGUAGCGGUGAAAUGCGCAGAUAUCGGGAAGAACACCCGUGGCGAAGGCGGCACUCUGGGACGGUACUGACGCUGAGACGCGAAAGCGUGGGGAGCGAACAGG
rnacentral:rRNA from 1 species